AACGAACGCUGGCGGCAUGCCUAACACAUGCAAGUCGAACGAGACCUUCGGGUCUAGUGGCGCACGGGUGCGUAACGCGUGGGAACCUGCCCUUAGGUUCGGAAUAACUCCCCGAAAGGGGUGCUAAUACCGGAUAAUGUCUUCGGACCAAAGAUUUAUCGCCUUUGGAUGGGCCCGCGUUGGAUUAGCUAGUUGGUAGGGUAAAAGCCUACCAAGGCGACGAUCCAUAGCUGGUCUGAGAGGAUGAUCAGCCACACUGGGACUGAGACACGGCCCAGACUCCGACGGGAAGCAGCAGUGGGGAAUAUAGGACAAGGGGCGAAAGGCUGAUCCAGCAAUGCCGCGUGAGUGAUGAAGGCAUUAGGGUUGUAAAGCUCUUUUACCCGGGAUGAUAAUGACAGUACCGGGAGAAUAAGCACCGGCUAACUCCGUG
rnacentral:rRNA from 1 species